rnacentral:tRNA from 1 species
GUGGCUUUAGCUCAGAUGGCAGAGCUCUGGAUUGUGAUUCCAGCGGUCACGGGUUCGAGCCCCGUAAGCCACCCCA